AACGUGGUGGGCUCCGUGCCAGAUGCGCGUUUACACUGCACCGUUCUAAAGAAUUCUGUAAAUGCACUAUCUGGUACGACAGCCCACUACGU
rfam:Tribolium castaneum strain Georgia GA2 linkage group LG7, whole genome shotgun sequence.